rnacentral:lncRNA from 1 species
CCAUCCACUGCCAUUGUUGCUCCUCUGGGCAGCCACAGGUCACCUAUGCAGGCUGAGCCACCACCUGCUCACCCUGCUGCUGCCGCCUCCACAAGUAAGAGGAAGUACAGUGACCCAGAUGCUGGGCUCAGCCACAAAAGAGAACCCAGGGCCUUCAGUGGAGAGCAGGGGAGGCAUGGCUCUGUGACUCAUCACGUGCUGAGAAGCACUGACUGGGACAGGAGGAGGCUGGAUGACAGCAGUGCCAAGAGGAGACAAUUUCUAUAGUAGCACCUCGUGAGGAGACUGUUGUCCACAGGCCAGCUAGUGGUACCCUACUGAGAAGUUGGGUUUUGGUUUUGUUUCCCUUGAAGGGUCGCUGUUAGAGGAUGGAAGUAACUUCUAAUUCUUGAUCUGUUUGUUGGUCUUGUUUUCAGUACUUUUUGCCAGUUGUAUACACUUGGAGAGGGAAUUUGUAUGCCUGUAAUCUUGUUCUUGAGGUCAGAAAUUCAAAACAUUGGGAGCUUUUGUUGUAAAGGUUAAACUGUGAAUCCAUAUAGCAAAUGCAGAUCCUUUUACAGUGUAAACCACAUUUCCUGCCUCAGCCUAAAGCACUGGUCAUUUUCCAACAGAACAAACUUCCAAUUUAAAGAGAGAGAGGAGGACAGAUCCUUUCAACCAUUGUGUGGUAGAUGAAUUUAACAGCCUCAGUACUGGGAGUUAGUCAAGUUUGAACAAGUAGCUAGUGUCUUCAGCUGGGGUUUCGUGGGCCUUUAGAAAGCAGCACGUUGGGAGUUGUGCUCAUAAGUGCACUUUGAAACAAGGCAGCUUGGCACAGGGCAUGACUGUGACAAGUUCAUUUACCUAUAUUGGUGUAUAGGUUUUCUGGCUAAAAAUCUUUCCCUUCUCAAAACGGAAGACCAAUUCUUGAAUGGUCAUUCAUGCUUGCAAAGUUUUGUGAGGUUGAUGUAACUGGGGAAUUGUAGACAGCUUAGCAAAUGGAGGAUUUGUGCUGGCUUGGUUGGUCUGGCCUGGAAGAGUCCAUUUAGGAUGCUUGUGAAGGCUUGAGAGUUGCCCGGAAAAUUAAAAAGGAUGCAUUUUAAGGGAUCCCAUGGGAGCUACACAGGGGCAGACCAGAUAGCAUAUCUCAGGCAGGAGAGAAACUCCAUGAGAAAGAAGAGCAGCCGUCUGGGCUGCAGGACCAUCCAGUAGGUAGGUGAAAGUGCAGUCUAUGUUGGGUCACUGCAGGCACUGGACUCCAUCAGACCUGGUGUGGUUGUGAGAGGAAAGCAGAGGGGCCUGGAAGUCAAGUCGGGACAAGGGAGGGAGGGCUGUUUAACCAGUCUCUAUGUAGAAGGGCAUGUGAGUGUGAGGUCUCUGGUAACUACUGUGUGCACAGCCCGUUAGCUGCCUUGGGGCAGGAAGACAGCCCUAAAACUUAGUGUUUGCUGUUAGGAGGGAUUUUUGCCAUCUGUUCUUACACAAGGGUUUUGUGUUAGAAAUUCUGCUGAAGGAGGUUUUGUUUGUUAAGAGCUUUGAAAAAAUGCAUUUUGCCAAGUUUCAACACUUGAGUUUCCUGAUCUCUUUCUGCUAGUGCCCAGACAUGAACCCUAAUAUCUGCUGAAUACUUGUAAAGCUGGGGAGUAGGCACCUUCUCAGAGCCCUUCAGCCUCCUGGAUGUCCCCAGCUAAGUGGGAAAGAAAUCCUGCUCUGGCUAGGGCAGGGGUUCAGUAAGCUCCUGCAUAUGACAUUGGCAGGAAACCUCACUGUCACUUGAAAUUUUCUUUCCUAGUAUCUGUGAGAAGUGCUCAGUUUAGCCAAAAGUGUGCUUCUGAGAGGGGAAUAACAACAGCAAUAGCCAGGACGUUUCCUUCUCUAAAGACCCAAGAAGUACAUUUGUAAAAAGAAGAUUUUCCAAAACAUGUAGUUGGCUGCUCUCCAAUGAGUAUGUUGUAGGACAUUGUGUGUUCAUCUGCUGGCUCAUGGCUAGCCACAUCCGAGUAUUGGAAUUUGUAUUGCAGCCUGCUUAUUUUGUGAAUGUAAGGGCUGCUGGGAUUAGACUCUGGCCAAGGGAUCUUCCUUCUCAGCAAGCAGACUUGCCUUAGAACUGUCUCACAGCAGAAUGUAGUUGCAUUAUAUUAGAUCUGAAACCUUAUUUAUUCCAGUUGGUAAAGGUAUUUGCAGAAAGUGUUUGCUGUGUCAAGGGGCCUUUCCUGACAGUGCUGUCAGAAAUGGUCAACCCUGACAAGAUGAAAAGGUCACUUUGUCCUUGCUGUGGUUAAAAGAACAUGCCCUGACUACUUUCAAAUGUUAUUUCAAGGUGAAUAUAUUAUACCUGUCUUACUUUGCUUCUCUCUUGAUUUACCACAGUUUGUCCAGUUAUGUUUUCAUGAAUUAUCAGGAGUAAAUUUGAACAAAAACAUGUGAAUAAUCUCCUGUAAAUGUGUUUUAUAACAAGAGUGUGCUAAACUAUUUUCUAAAAAUUACUUGUGCAUUUUGGGAAUCUUUCUGUAGCUUUGUGUUUUGUAUGCUCUGGAUUCAUAACUGGAUUUUGGCAAAUAGUAAACCUAUUAUCUUUGUUAAAACCUAAAAUUUAAGAGAAAAUGGCAGAAAUAAAAACAAACAAG